rnacentral:lncRNA from 1 species
GUUCCUCGCAGGCUCCCGUCGCCUCGCGCGAAAACGAGGGGCGGGAACAGGAAGUAGGGUUAGGCCGAGUUCCGGGUGCAAGGCGGCUACUGAGGACCGGAGAACUGAAGGCUGCGGCUGGAAGCUGGUGAGGCAGUGCGGCGAUGUUCCGGAUCGAGGGCCUUGCGCCGAAGCUGGACCCGGAGGAGAUGAAGCGGAAGAUGCGUGAGGACGUGAUCUCCUCCAUAAGGAACUUCCUUAUCUACGUGGCCCUGUUGAGAGUCAGUAAGUGUCCUCCCGGGCUGUGACCAUAAGACCACCUUGCCGACACCGCCCAGCCACCUCUAGUUCCCCAGGCCGUUGUGAGGCCUUGGGGAGCUAAGCCGAGCUGAGCCGUCACGGGAGCAAGAGGUGUGCGCGUCGAGGGCGACGAUAGUCUAGAGUCUGCGGGUCUGACUGGGGACACCGAAGCGCACGUGGUGGUGCCCCUGCGCACGAGGUUAGCUCAUCCUAGCUCGCCCAACCUCAACAGUGAGUGCAGAGAGCUUCAAAGCUUAUCCUAGAGCAGUUCUCUCAUUUUGGAGACCAAGAAACAGUGCCAAAGGUAGGGAAAUGGCUGGCCAAGGUCAUCCAGCAAUUCGGUGAAUGGGCUUGACCUAGAAUCCGAAGCUCUUAACUCCGUGCCAGGUUUUCCUCCUGUAGUGCCGACCAUUGAAAUGCAAAAGGUUUUGCUUCCUUGCUGUUUAUUUGUACAGAAGGUGAAGUAAAUAAUUGCUUCUGGGGGAAGGAAUGAGAGGAAAACGAGUUUAUAGGAUUGGUGGAAAUAGAAAAAUAUUUGAUCUUUACAGUUGGCAGAAAGUUACAUCCAUUAUUCGGUCUUGACAGUGACUCUUUGAGGAGGGUAGGGCCUAAGAUUCUUUGUAUCCUUUUUGCAAGUGACUGCUCGAUUUUAAAAUGGAACAUAAAGCAUAGGGUUAUAGUACACUGAAUAUAAGAACUGGAAGCAGCUUUAUAGAGCAGUUCUCUAAUUUUAUUGUUGUUUCAGAGAUGACUUGCCGCUGUCACUUCAUUCUUAGUACAGUAUCCUUUUCAUUGUUAUAAAAUUUGUAUAUUGUUGUCUGGUCUGAAUGGAGAGGCAGGGAAAGUCAAAUCACUGAAGGCCAUACCAAGGUCAUGCUGUAGAAGACUUUUGAUAGGCCUAGUCUGAACUCACUGAGGCUGAGGUCUCUCUCAAUUCAGAUGUUUCUUUUACUGGGUACUCUUUCCCUGUAUUGCUCUGCUUCCCCAGGAGAGGGAGCUUUGGGGAAUAGAAACACGGAAAUAAUACUGCUCAUUCAAGAACUUUCAUUCAUUCAUAUAUAUAUAUAUAUAUAUAUAUAUAUAUAUAUAUAUAUAUAUAUAUAUAUAUAUAUAUAUUUUAGUUGUAGGUGGGCACAAUACCUUUAUUUUAUUUAUUAAUUUUUAUGUGGUGUUGAGGAUCAAACCCAGUGCCUCACAUGUACUAGGCAAGCACUCUAGCACUGAACUACAUACAACCCUAGCCCCCUUGAGAACUUUUUAUAACUCCCAAAUGUACUUAUUUCCUCCUAACUUGUUGUUGUUGAUCUAGCUGCUAGUAAAAUAUUUUCUUCUUAAUGAUUUUUGCCUUUAAUUGUAAUUACUUAUUAUCACAUUUUAGGUUGAGACAUAAUUUUGUAUAUGACACAACCAUAUUUAAAGUGCACAAUUCAGUGGUUUUCAGCAUAGUCAGAAGUGUGCAGUCAUCAUCACAAUCAAUUUUAGAACGUUGUCUUUUCUUCUAAAAAAAAAAAAAUACUAUGUCCAUAAUCUGUAACCCUAUUUCCCCCUUUCUCCAGUCCUUGGUGACCACUUAUUUGCAGUUUCUGUAUGGAUUUGCCUUUUAUGGAUAUUUCAUAUAGAGGAAUUAUAUGUGACCUUUUGUGUCUGUUAUUUCACUUAGCACGUUUUCAAGGUUCAUCCAACUUGCAGCUUGUGACAGAACCUUUUUUAUAUAUGAUUAAGGUCCCAUUGUAUGGAUAUACCGCGUUUUGUUUAUCCACUCAUCAUUUCUUGUGGAUUUUUCCCCCCAUUAAGAAUUAGUAGAGAAGGUUGGAUGUACUACUGACUUUAUCAACUUCCAACAGAUCUCAAUAGCUCAGUUUCACAUUAAUAAAAUGUUUUAAGUGUGUAUAUUAAGAAAGAAGUUCAUCUGUUUAUUUUAUUUUUAUUUUUUUAUUUUUUUGUGACCACAGCACUUUUACACAGGACAAUAAUAUCACUUCUUUAAAUCUAUAUGAUCAGGCUGGGGAUGUGGCUCAAGCGGUAGCGCGCUCACCUGGCAUGCAUGCGGCCCGGGUUCAAUCCUCAGCACCAUAUACAAAACAAAGAUGUUAUGUCCGCUGAUAACUAAAAAAAUAUAUAUAUAUAUAUAUUAAAAAUUCAAUAAAUAAAUAAAUAAAUCUAUAUGAUCACAUUUAAUUUUCUAGAUAGUUCUGUGUAUGGCAUUUUGUUAGACCCUUAUAGUAACUGAAUAAGAUGCUGUGAUCUGGAGGGCAUAAGUGAUAUAUAGUUCAUUAAGAGAGAACAAAGUAAAAGUCUUUUUUUUUUUUUUUUUUUACAAGCUCUGCCAAAUUUUAUUAAGAGAAAUUUUGUAUGUUUUACUUUUCAUCAGUCUGUUCUGGCAUGCUUCUAAUGAUAUCAGAAUCACUGGAUCAGUGAUAGACAGUGUGCAUACUCUGUAGUAUUUUCUGCACGCUGUACCCAAUUACAUAUUAUUGCCAAUGUAGUGAUGGACACCAGUUUAUUAUUGCCAAUGUAGUGAUAGACACCAGUUUUGGCCAACAUGGCAUAGAACUCUGUUUCAGAUUUCUUCAAAGCUGGACAGUUGUUGGGGAGGAUGACCAGUUUCACUUUGCCCUGUCUGAUCAUCUUCAGUGUCUGUUUGUAUCCUGGCACAUGCUUUCCACUUUUCAUAACAAGCGGAGUCUAGAGUUGAUUGACUCCAGAAACUUUGUCUUCUUUGCAGCUACCAUUCUCCUGCCUUAAAUGCAGGAUGUCCCCUAGCUAAGAGCAGCCAUCAAGAUGGCAGGAUCAAAUGAGUCUUUAGAGUUCCUUCUACAGUUAAAAUAAAUCACUAAAGUAAAGGAUUGUCAUUUGAAAGACAGCUAGAGUACAUCUUUAUGGCCCUAAGGGGGAGAACUACCUGGAUGAAAAAUUUUGAAUAGAAUAACAAUGAACUUUAUAGUAAUUAUAGUUGAAUGGCACUGAAAUGAGCUGCUUUGGAAGGUGGGGAAUCUCUUGCUUGUUUUUUACAAGCAGAGGCCUUACCAUCAUUUAGGAGUUGUUUUCAAAAACAUGUUCAAUUAAACCUAUAAGGAUCUCCACCCCCAAGUCUUUUCUGACAUGUAGCCUGGGGACUGAUAGACCUGGAAACUAAUUUGGGGUGUUUUGUUUUAUUUAAGCUCCAUUUAUCUUAAAGAAAUUGGACAGCAUAUGAAGAUUGGACAUCACAAGUACAUGCAUGAUAUGAAGAACCUGGUUACAGUUUCUCCUCCUAUCUGCAAAUGAAUGGGCCCAGAAUGGUGUAAGAGACUCUUUGAUUGAAUGGACAUAAAAAUUCUACUUGUUAAGAACAAGUUGGGCUAUGAAUACUGACCUUCAUAGCUAAAAUAUACAACAAUUUGGAAAGUAUGAAAAGACAUCUUGUAAUUAUAGUGUGACCUUAUGCUUGUGAUACUUGGCCUCUGAAUGUUGGUAUGAAUGUAAAUAGUGUCAAACUCCCUUUCAUUAAUUAUAAGGGGAUUAUGUCUGAAAUGGCAUGUCUUGUCAGUCAUUUCUGUUUACAUUUUUACUUCUGUCCAGAGUAUAUUUGUGAAGAGGCCCUUACAAUUAUGUCUUAUGAAGUCAGCACCCAACCACAAUGACAUUUAAUC